CCUUCCUUCUCNUUAGUCGACACUAAGGGGGCCCCUCACAGUAAUUAGCAGGAGUGGGAGUUCUGGCUGCCUACAGACCUUCUUCCUCUUACACCUCUCUGGUCGGUUGCCGCCUAGAGCGGGAGACCUCACGAAGCAUGGGCCGAAUACCCAGUCCUCACCAGCAGAGAGUAGUGGGCAGGAAUCGGGAUUUCGGGCCCUGCCGCUGACCCUCCGUGUGACCACGGUGUGCAUUUCCCAGACAUUUCCUGAGUGGCGUUCUCUGACAGCCACGGAGCCAAAUACAGAGGACAUAAAGGAGAUGGGGACAUAGUCCUUGCCCUCGUGAGCCUUGGCACUCACCGCACGAACUCCUGGAAUCUGGGUGCGGAGAGAGGAAGUCUGUCACCUUUCUGCUUCACGUGAGUCCCCCAGUCAGUUAUCCUGAUGGGGUUCUGUCCUGCUCCCCAGAUCUAUCACUUUGAUGAACAGUCAGAGACCCCCAGAGACCUUCCAG
rnacentral:lncRNA from 1 species